rnacentral:rRNA from 1 species
UACGAAGGGGGCUAGCGUUGCUCGGAAUCACUGGGCGUAAAGCGCACGUAGGCGGAUUGUUAAGUCAGGGGUGAAAUCCUGGAGCUCAACUCCAGAACUGCCUUUGAUACUGGCGAUCUUGAGUCCGGGAGAGGUGAGUGGAACUGCGAGUGUAGAGGUGAAAUUCGUAGAUAUUCGCAAGAACACCAGUGGCGAAGGCGGCAUCCUGGACCGGCAUUGACGCUGAGGAGCGAAAGCUAGGGGAGCAAACGGG